rnacentral:rRNA from 1 species
UACGUAGGGAGCGAGCGUUGUCCGGAUUUAUUGGGCGUAAAGCGCGCGUAGGCGGUUUGGUAAGUCGGGUGUGAAACCUCCAAGCUUAACUUGGAGCUGCCACUCGAAACUGCCAUGACUUGAGUUCGGUAGGGGAACACGGAAUUCCAGGUGUAGCGGUGAAAUGCUUAGAUAUCUGGAGGAACACCAGUGGCGAAGGCGGUGUUCUGGGCCGAUACUGAUGCUGAUGCGCGAAAGCGUGGGGAGCGAACAGG